ACUCAAAGGAAUAGACGGGGGCUCACACAAGCGGUGGAGCAUGUGGCUUAAUUCGAGGCUACGCGAAGAACCUUAUCCUGGGCUUGACAUGUUCGAAAGAGGUAGGUGUUGUAGCUUCCGGAAACGGCAAGCGAACCCGCAAGGGGGACCUACUACAGGUGCUGCAUGGCUGUCGUCAGCUCGUGUCGUGAGAUGUCGGGUUAAGUCCCAUAACGAGCGAAACCCUUGUCCUUAGUUGCUACUCGAAAGAGGCACUCUAAGGAGACUGCCGGUGUUAAACCGGAGGAAGGUGGGGAUGACGUCAAGUCCUCAUGGCCUUUAUGCCCAGGGCUGCACACGUGCUACAAUGCAACGAACAAAGGGACGCAAACCCGCGAGGGGGAGCAAAUCCCAAAAAACGUUGCCCAGUUCAGAUCGAAGGCUGCAACUCGCCUUCGUGAAGUUGGAAUCGCUAGUAAUCGCAGGUCAGCAACACUGCGGUGAAUGUGUUCCUGAGCCUUGCACACACCGCCCGU
rnacentral:rRNA from 1 species